rnacentral:lncRNA from 1 species
CUUCUCUGGUCUAACUGCCUUCUUUUCAGUCAAGACAUGCUGACUGGUUCCCUUCUCCAAAUGCCAGAGAGAGUUGGAGUUUAUUGAAUUGUAAAAUACACAGUGAGAAAAAUUACAUCUGUUAUUUUCUACCUGCUGAAGAUGUAGGGAUCAAUUAUCAUGUGAGAUGGGGAAAAGAGAAUUCUAGAAGAGAAAUGGCUGAACACUCCAAUGGAUUCGGAAGUAAAAACAAAACAAACAGAAAGUAACAAUUGAUCGCCACUUGCUAUGUGCCAGAUACUGUGCUGAAUGUUGCAUUUAGUCAGAAUUUAAAUCAACGAUGGGUUACUGGGCAAAGGAAAACA